rnacentral:rRNA from 1 species
AAUAUUUCUCCAAGAAAUAAACAAACAUUUCUAAAAUCUUAAUUAAUCGAAAAUAAUUUAUCCCUUUUGUAUAAGGGGAUGAAAAUUUUCAAAAAUUCUCCUUUCCGAAAGUUUUUGAGCAAAGGCAAAUCUAUAAAAAAUAGCACAUUCUUUUGCCUUAGUAGAUAUAAUCUUUCCGAAAUGACUAAUAUCUGAUAUCAAAUUAUAAUUACAAAAAGGAAAGCCUUUUUAAAAAAGAAGUUUCUACCUUUUGUUCUCUAAAAUUGUUAAAAAUCUUUAAAAUUUUUCAUAAAAAUUUUACAUCACCUCAUGACUUUUUAAAAAAAGAUAAUUAAACAAGAUUUCAUCACUAGUAUAAUAAAAUUUAUGGGUACACAUUUCCCAAAAAAGAAUAAAUAAAAUUAUUAUUAAAGAACUAAAAGAAAGACCUUUUGAAUGCUUAUCAAAAACUUUUCUAUUUUAUUGAAUAGAAGUCCCUGCCAAUUGAAAAUUAAAAGGCCGAAGAAUUUUUACUUCGCGAAGGUAGCAAAAUAAUUUGGCUAUUUAUUGUAGUCCAGAAUGAGAGAGAAAACAAAAGAUUUCUUUUUAAAAUAUAAAAUUAAAAUCUAAUCUUCCUUUGAAAAUCAAGAAAAGCAUUUUUAAGACGAAAAGACCCCAGGAUCUUAUAUUUUUUUGAAAUUUUAUUGGGGCAAUACUUCAUCAUAAAAAGAAACCUAUUUUACUAACUGUUAUAACAAAAAUAAAGAUACCCUGGGGAUAACAGGGUAAUCUUCUAAGAGAGAUCUUAUCAAAUAGAGGGAUUUCUACCUCGAUGUUGGCUUUCCUAUUUCUUUUAGAGGAAGAAUAUUAAAAGAAAAAGUCUGUUCGACUUUAAUAAGGAACAUGAGCUGAGUUCAAGUCGGCAAAAGCCAGACUGGUUUUUAUCUAAAAAUUAUUAAGGAGAAUCUAGUACGAAAGGACAAAUUUUCCCCUCCAAGAGUAAAGACAAACCGAAAAGACAAACCUUGAAUUAAAAUUUAAUAA